UUCCCAUCUCAAAUUAGCCAA
ensembl:piRNA 21ur-590 ncRNA